UACGAAGGGGGCUAGCGUUGCUCGGAAUGACUGGGCGUAAAGGGCGCGUAGGCGGAUUGCUUUGUCGGGCGUGAAAUUCCAGGGCUUAACCUUGGGGCUGCGUUCGAGACGGGUGAUCUUGAGUUCGGAAGAGGGUCGUGGAAUUCCCAGUGUAGAGGUGAAAUUCGUAGAUAUUGGGAAGAACACCGGUGGCGAAGGCGGGUCUCUGGGCCGAUACUGACGCUGAGGAGCGAAAGCGUGGGGAGCGAACAGG
rnacentral:rRNA from 1 species